rnacentral:rRNA from 1 species
AACGAACGCUGGCGGCAGGCCUAACACAUGCAAGUCGAACGCUGCAGCAAUGCAGAGUGGCAGACGGGUGAGUAACGCGUGGGAACCUUCCCAAUGGUACGGAAUAGCCCAGGGAAACUUGGGGUAAUACCGUAUAAGCCCCAUGGGGGAAAGAUUUAUCGCCAUUGGAUGGGCCCGCGUCGGAUUAGCUAGUUGGUGAGGUAACGGCUCACCAAGGCGACGAUCCGUAGCUGGUUUGAGAGAAUGACCAGCCACACUGGGACUGAGACACGGCCCAGACUCCUCCGGAAGGCAGCAGUGGGGAAUCUUGGAAAAUGGGCGAAAGCCUGAUCCAGCCAUGCCGCGUGAGUUACGAAGGCCUUAGAGUUGUAAAGCUCUUUUGGCGGGGACGAUAAUGACGGUACCCGCAGAAUAAGUCCCGGCUAACUUCGUGCCAGCAGCCGCAGUAA